rnacentral:lncRNA from 1 species
AAAUAUCCAAAUCCAUUUUAAAUCCAUUUUUAAGCCACUUGUUCAAUUAACCAAAUCCAUUUACAUUAGUAACCAUCAUCCAAAUAUCCACUGUACACUUAUUAGUAUGCAUUAAGAAAAAUAAAAGUUGCAGCCAAAAGAUGUUGUAGCUCAUUCACAAGCCAACAACCCAAAACGGCUGAAAGUCAAGCAACCGCCAAAAUCAGCGCAAGCUGUACACAAAACAAUUCUGCAUAAAUCCAAAACAAAAUCCUGCACAAUUUAACCAACCUCGCAACACCAAUAACAGCAAAAUUAACUUCUAACCAACUCAAAAUACAAACCAAUUUAAAACCAAAAUCCUCUUGGCCUCGUUUGAAUUUCACCAACUGAAUUUGAAUCAUUAUAACUAAUCCUAACAGAAUUUCAUCUUGAAUUCCUAACAGAAUUUUCUAAUAGAAUUUUGCUAACAGAAUAAAAACCUUAUAAAUACCCUGCAAGUCUCAGGUUCGGGGGCUCCAUUUUUUUUCUCCAGUUUUUCAUUUCCAUUUCCUCACAAUACGAUCUGGUAUCCUAACUAUUUGGAGUUUUCACCCUCCAUCACCUUCAACCGUUUCAUUCACAAAACUCCUUCACCAUCUCUUCUUCACGCCGCCGAACCACCACGCUUCAACUUGCACUGCUUCAAUCGCUUCAACCUCCACGACGAACCACAAGCGGACGACAACGCACAACAGAAACUCACCCGAAUUCGGUUGCAAAAAUCCCAAUCUUCCAUUCCAUCGCAACUCUACCAAUCGCACCAUAACUCAACCGCUUCAACCACCGCGAUUCCCUCCAACCACGACCAUACGCGACCGUUAACAGAGUCGACAAACUCACCACAAUCAUCUAUAUAAUAACAACGUGAUCCACAGAAGAUUGACUCCGGAAUAAUCACGCGUCUGAAGGUCUUCCGCGUGCAUCAUCGGCGGUGAGUCCUAAAUUUUUCUCUCUUGUUAAUGUCGCUCGUUUCAGAAUCACACUCCCUGUGCUGUGAUAGUGGAUUCGUUUUGGGCCUAAGGCCCAAACAAAUUGUCUUCUACAUUCUCCAGUUAACCAUUUGCACCCCCACGGCUUGGGCUUUCCACAGUUAGGCCCAUGCUAUUUUUGAUGGAUCCAUUCCCCUUGGUUUUGGAUAAUUAACAUAGUUAAUUAGUAGGAUUAAACCUAGUUUAAUUUCAGAAUUAAGGUUAAUUGUGAUUAGUUCUUAAUUAGGUUUUAGUCGUUAGAAUUUUAGUAUAUAAAUUAGAAGUAUUAAUUAGAGAUCGAUUUUAGAAAUAGAAUAACUUUAGAAAUUAAUUAGGAAAAUUAGGAUUAGAGUUUAUUUAGGACAAUUAGAAAUUAAUUUUAGAAUAUGUUAAUUAGGGGUUAGAAAUAUUAUUAGAAAUUAAUUUUAGGAUAUAUUAGGAAUUUUAGGAAUAUUAAAUUAAACGUAGAAUUUAGUUGUUCUAAUUAGGAUUUUCAUAAAAUAGAAAUUUAAUCCAAUAGUAACCAUAAUUGUGAAUUGACGAUUACACCCUUAGGGAUAGAAAUAGGCUAAUCUUGUAUGCUCCCCUAGUUGUAGGAAUUAUAGAAUAUUCUAAUUGGUCGAUUAACAUAGAUUGUCGCAUAUUCGUUGCUAGCUAUUAUUUCUUGUGUGAUUAAUUUUGAUUCUAAUGCAUGUUUAGAUAGAGCUUAAAUUUUAGAAUUAAUUUUCACUCGAAUGAUUUUUACUUUCGCACUCCCUUGUACUUUACCUGUACCCCCUCCCCUUUCCGAUGUACGCAUUUACUUGCUUUCUUUUAUUGCUUGUUAGCUACUCCUUAGGCAUUAGGAACGUUCACCAUUUCGCAACCAAUAAUCAAACCCUUGAUUCAACGUCAAGCGGUCUUUUUCAAAUCAAAUUCCAUAAACAAACCCUUGAUCCAACGUCAAGCGGUUUUUUUUUUCCAAAUCAAACUCAAAAAACAUAAUAAAUGGCGAUUAGGAUCGUGCGUCAUGCGCCUUAAGCGAUAAAGAAGGGAUGAGACUGGAGCUUUCCUACACUCAUUCUGAAUGCUUCGAACACAAGACGUUUGGCUUGACCGUUUGAGGUAGUCACCUUUAUCCAUAGUCUUUAGUGCAAUCUGAAACCAAUAACUCAUUUCUCAAAACAUAAAAACAACUAAACACAUUCAAACCUUUUGUUUGAGCCUUAGGGCGACACCAUCGAAAAUCCUUCUUCAAGGUAAAUAAAAUCAACAGAACAACCAAACAAUUUCAAAACCACGAACUACGAAGGCUCUAAUUUCUCACUUCAACAAGUGGGCAUACGUAGGCACGAGGAUCCAUUCCUUGGCGAGUACACUAAUUUAAAAUCUACCUCCACUCCGCAAACCUUUGGCAAGCAAACAUUCGACAAACAAUACACACAUAAGCGCAAACAAUACACACAUAAGUGCAAACAUCCUAGAUGGUUCCCAUGGAGUACCAUGGAUGUGAGGGGUGCUAAUACCUUUCCCUUGCAUAACCGACUUCCGAACCUCUUCGUGGUUGCGAUGACCAUAUUUUGGGGUUUUCUCAAUAUUUUCCCAUUCCUUUGGAAUAAAUAAAAACUGAUGGCGACUGUGUACUUUUCGCGUAGCGACAGCUGGCGACUCUGCUGGGGACACCUCCCUAAGCAAGCAAGCCUAAUCUAGGUUGCUUCCUCGCGUGUAUGUAUGCUUAUCCUUUUGAUAUUGCUUGUUUUAUUUAUCGCCUUUUACUUUAAAUUUUGUAAUAUAUUAUAUGGUUCCAUGGUUCUAUAGUAGUGAUUGAUACUACUUUGAUUGCAAGUAACCUUGUGGGAAAGACUCUCCACCCGAGUCUAUAGUGCAAACUUGAGCUAGGAGAGGUUGAGUAGUAUGGGCCACCGAGAAGCUUUUCUCGUUAGGGUCAAUACGAGAACCUCGCUUAGAGUAGAUUCUCGUGGAGAUGUUGACGACCGUCAAGCUUUUGGCGUAAGCGAUCAAUGUCUUCAUUUGGAUCCAUGACUCUGAGGACCUUUGUAGAACAUUAAACCUAUGGCCUAUUAAGAUUGAUGGUCGCGUAGUGCGGGUCCCCGAGAAGCUUUUCUCGUAUGGGUCGGUACGAAGAUCUCACUCAAAGUAGAUUUUCUUGAUGGAGUUAUCGACCGGUAAGCUUUUGCCGCAAGCGGCAAACAGUCAAGGAGGUCCGUGACUUUGAGACCCUUGUCUAGAACCCGGUGUCGAUGGUCGCAUAGUGCGGGUCCCCGAGAAGCUUUUCUCGCGUGGGUCGGUACGAAGAUCUCACCCAGAAGAGGCUCAUUUGAGGGAGUUGACGACUGGUAAGCUUUUGCCGUAAGCAUCAAACAGCCAAAUGAAUCGAUGACUUUGGGGUCCCUAUCUAAAACUCUAGAUCAUACCUAGUAAGAUCCCUAAUAUAGAAAGCAACCAGUGUUAUCCUUCAUUCGUACCUCGAACUUUUGAAUCUAUGCGCCUGAAUGUCGUCCAUUCAUUCAUUCAUCCAUUCAUACAUCAAAGUGAAAAAUUCGCAUGCAUCCAUGCAUCAUUUUGCAUAUCAUUUUCAAACCAUAACAAAAGCAAGCUCAUCCAUCCUUUGUCUAUAACCCGCAGUUGAUUUCCCGACACUCAUAUUGGACUUGAAAGAUCAUGGAGCAAAAUCAGUUUGCGUCAAAGGCGGAUGUUGAUGUGAUAAAGAAUCAGUUGGACCGACUUAUGGAAGCUAUGACAGCCUUGGCAAGGAGAGAUGAAAACGUUCAACGGAUGGUAAGAACUGAGAAUGGUGUUCCACCUCAAGUAAACAAUCUUACUCAAACUCAGUCGGUGCAGAUCCUUAUCGAAGACCAGGUUAUACAAGAGCGUUCAAUUGUCCGAGACGGACACUCCUCUUGUGAUGCUAUUGAGUAUCAUAGUUUUGCAUUCUCUGCGCAAAAUUCCCAAGGGGCAGUCCCAUUGAUGAAAACCAAGGAUCCAUAAGAUGUGAAGGUUUCUGAAAGAUUUCAGGUGUUAGAAGAGAAGCUUAAAGCCAUAGAAGGGCAUUAUGCUUUCGGUUUGAAUGCUUCAAACAUGUGUUUAAUGCCUGGCCUGAUAAUGCCUCCAAAGUUCAAGACACCUAAUUUCGAAAAGUACAAAGGGGAUAGUUGUCCAAAGCAACAUUUGGUGAUGUUUUGCAGAAAAAUGACUUCCUAUGCUCACAAUGAUAAGCUGAUGAUUCACUAUUUUCAGGACAGUCUCAGUGGAACAUCACUGAGUUGGUACAUGCAGCUAGAAAAGUGCCACAUCCAACCAUGGUUAGACCUGGCUAACGCCUUUUUGAAGCAAUACGAUUACAAUUUGGACAUGGCUCCCAACCGUAUGCAGUUGCAAGGUUUAUCUCAGGAAAGCAAUGAAUCCUUCAGAGGAUAUGCCAAAAGAUGGAGAGAGUUAGUUACUCAAGUUCAACCACCACUUAUGGAGAAAGAAUUGGUUGACUUAUUCAUGGAUACCUUGCAAGGUCCGUACUAUGAAAAGAUGAUAGGUAGUACUGCACCUGAUUUUUCUCACUUGGUGUCGGCAGGAAUACGCAUCGAGAGCAUGCUCAAAAGCGGAAAGAUCCAAGACGUCUCGAACAUCCAGGCUAGUGAGAAUGAAUCCCUUGUCAAUUCCCAAGAGCAAGAGGAGAUGGAAAUUAACGCAAUCUGGGAAGCUCCACAAGCUCCAUAUAAUGCGACAUUCCCUCCACAAGGUCAAUAUCCUCCUGAAAAUAGAGGAUCUCCGUGGAAUCAACGACAAGCUCCACAUCAGCAACGUCAACACACUCGACAAAGGCCAAGGAAGCCAGCAAGGCAUUUUGAUCCACUUCCAAUGUUGUACAACCAAGUACUGUCGUAUUUGAUCAAAGAUAGAUUGAUAGUACCGAAGGAACUGCGUCCAGUGAUUCCACCAUACCCGCCAGACUUUGAUGUCAACGCCCGAUGUGACUUUCAUGCUUGGGCACAGGGGCAUUAAACUGAAGAUUGUAAAGUGCUGAAAAGCCAGGUGCAAAAGUUGCUUGACUCCAAGAUGUUCUCAUUUGCGCCUCGAGGUCUUCAAAUCAACAACAAUCCUUCGCCUAGUCAUGAAGAUCCAUCAGUGCAUGUUAUUCCUCCUAUUGGUCUCGACGAGCAACUAUGAGGAAGACCAGGCCGACAACAAAGCGAAAGAGGAAAGUCUGGUUCCCCAACACUGGCAAUCCUCGGAUCACAUCAUUACUUUGCAUUUGUAGUUUCUUUGUUGUUAAGUGCUACUUGCUUUUAAAGGUUGUUGUUUAUAAAUGGUGGUAUUAAUAAAAUGAGCAUGCAUGUUUUAAACGAAUCCAUUCGUAUUCACUCAUAUUUUUUCAUUUAUUUACAAAAAAUCACAAAGAAAAAAAGUAUUUCCAUUCGCUUUAUUAAACUGUUAUUUAGCAAGUAUUGGAGGGAGGAUGACGAAAACAAGAUAUCCAUAAUUGUUGAUUGUAUGCUUUUAGAUAAAACCUUGUUGAUGAUGUACAAGCAUUGUUUCAAAUCCUCAAACACCAGAGAGAUAAGGAGUUAAUCCCUAGUUAACCACUUCGAGCCUAGAAGCAAGUGUUUCUUUCUGAUCUGAAAACCCUUACGCUUAACCUAGGGCAGGGUAAUGUUCAGUUGAUUCGACUAUGCAUUCAGAUCACAAGACGAAAUAUCCCGUCUAGGGAUCAACCACACGAUGUCCUUCACACACAUCCUGAGGUGUCGAAAGAACCAUGAGAUCCUGAAUUUAUGAUGGUGGUUCUUCAGCGACCAAUGACUUGGCAGUCACACCCCUUUAGCAAAAAAAAUCAAAAAAAAAGGAAAAAGCAAAAACCUGCUAAGUCGGACCCCCAAAAGGGGUGACUUAGGCAAAAAUUAGGGUAAUCCCGGCGGACCAAAAUUUUCGAAAGAAAGGUCCAGAAAAAAAUUAAGGAAAAACAAAAACGAAGAAAUGAAAAGAGGUCGUUAAAUCCUCAAUAAAGACAAAACAAAUAAGGUGACUGCCAUUUCAAGCGAACCUUGAAUCAUUAUCUUCAUUCUUACAUCGUCAAACUCUCUUGGAGGACGAAUGCGUAUGUUGAAUUAGCUGAACGUAGGACCGGAGAACAUCACGAAGAAGGGGUAGGUUAAAAACAAAUUUGACCCUUGUAUACUUUGUUUUAAUAACCGUGAACCGGACCACGUUACAACCCUCAAAAGACCUAACUGAAGCAAGGUUUAUUCUGAAAAGCAUACUACAACAAGGUUGCGUAAACCGACUCCUUGAUAUUUUUGCUAAUUUUUUUGUGUUGAUAUUAUUCAAUGCAUAUUUCACAUUAGCCAAAUCAGCAUUGCGUUUGGACUAAUGGUCCACUCGCCACUUGUCACUACAAUCAUCUCAAAUAAAUGAUUCUUUUUUCAAAACUUGCAUGAAUGUCGCAUUAAAAUUACCAUUGUCAAAUGAACAAUUUUAACUGCAAGUCAGUGCUUGACACCAAGGAAAUUCCAAGGAUCAAUCAUAGAUGAGCUUGAACAUCCGCCGAGGCCGAGGCUAUACUGAAUCAAGACUGUUUCAUAGCACCUCAAAUUGCCCCCCCCCCCUCAUUCAUGCAUUCAUUUUUAGGUCAUUUAACAUUUCAUAUUGCAUUGCAUCAUGUCAAUCAGAAUCAGAUCCUAGAAGCUUGAACAUCAUCCAAGACACUUUGUGGGUUCUAUCUGGGUGAUCAGUCAACACAAGGGGAUGGCUUGAGAUACUUCCAACAUGUUCAAAUGGGGUCUAUUCAUCAUUCAAAAUGCCAAUCUUGAAGGAGCAAAAAGCAGAGCCUGAGCUUUCAUGCUCGCUAGGCGAGCAGCAUGGUUCGCUAGGCGAACUGCACUGUCAUGCUCGCUAGGCGAAGAGCACGCGUUUCAGAUUGUAACAUAUUUUUUUUGGAUUUAGGCCUCUCUCAUUUGAGCCCACAAGUCCACAAAAAUCAGGUUAUAAAUUCAGAGUUUAAGUGAAACAAAAGGUAUUAUAUUCCUAUUACCCUGGCAAAAGAGAGAAGCUACAGAAUUCAGGGCAACCUCCGGACAGCUCUGAAAAGUUCACUCUGACUCACACACUUCUUCGCCUCCAUCUCCCGCAAACCCUAACAUUGCUUUGUAAACCCAACCGUGCCAUUCGAGUUUAAUCGAUCUCUCCAAUCAGGUUUGCCCUUAUUCUCAUUACCUUUAUACUUCCAAUUUGAAUGCUCUGAAUGUAUGAGGUAUGAUGGAUGAAUUUCAUUAUGUUUUUGCCCACGGGUUUAGAUAUGUAUGAAUGUAUAAACAAUGCCUUGAAUGAUUAACCGUUUAAUUUCUGAAGUGUGUGCCAUAGGGUUUGAGGUUUCCGAAACCACACUGUUAUCCAUGAAGAAUCCAAAACCCGCAGGCGUUCGCUAGCACCAUCUCUAGGUGAGCAUGUAGCGAAGCUUCGCCAAGCCUUCGCUAGGCGAAGCAGUAGCAAGCGUGACAGUAACUGAUUUUUUCUGUUCGUUCUAAUCUGACUUUUGUGUUUGUAAUGCCAUUGUUUUCUCCUGACUCCAUCUUGUUACUCUAACCUUUUUUUGUUGAGUUUUUGUGAGGGCUCACAUGACUCUUGCAGGGAUAGUUUGUUUGGUGUUCCACUUUAUUUGUGGAAUACCAUUUGGGAGAUUCUAUUCCGAUUACCUGUACUGACUUGUUGCCUUGUUGGCACGUUUACUUUAUGCAUGUUUCUUUUGCAGGGCGUGAUCGUAUCCCCAUAGGUAGCGCGGUUCCUUCGUCUAGGACUGCCUUUUUGCCUUUUUGCAUCCCUAAAACCCAAAGCAACUCAUUGAUUUUUCUUCUCCUAAGAACACGUUUACUCCUUCUACUACAAGCGAGUAAGUCUCCAAAGGUCGAGCAUCCGGUAGAUUGCGUAGUAACGUCGUUCGUCCCAAAACCACCCCGUAGUUAGCCGAACUACAUUUUGCUCUGAUUCUCAUUCCAUAUGAGAUACGUAGGCAUAAGACGCGAUGUCUUACCGAGCACACUUCCCCUUAACCCAUAGAUGGCCGAGUUACGAAGACUCUGAUUCUCAUAUUCAAAUGAGAUACGUAUGCAGUGGAUGCGACAUCCGUGCGAGUCAUUUUCCUUUGACCCCUCUUUUAGUAAAUAGUACAUUAGAUAAACCCACACCCUUCACAUAAUCGACUCCCGAACCCAAGAUUUGGUUACGAGACCUUGUCUUUUCCUUUCCUUUUUCCAGGUUUACUUCGAGCGUUUCCUUUCCCUCCUUUGGGAUAAAUAACGCACGGUGGCGACUCUUCUGAUCGACUCCCGAACCCAAGAUUUGGUUACGAGACCUUGUCUUUUCCUUUCCUUUUUCCAGGUUUACUUCGAGCGUUUCCUUUCCCUCCUUUGGGAUAAAUAACGCACGGUGGCGACUCUUCUGUCAUUUUCUUUUCGCCGGUUAUUUUUUCGCAUAUUAUGAUUUUUCAGGUUGCGACAGCUGGCGACUCUGCUGGGGAGAUAUAGUUUCCCUAAGCGAGUCCCUCCUAGCUUUUGUAGGUUUCUUGUUGGUUGGGUGUUUAUUUCGGUUGUACAAUUAUUUAUUUACUUGCUUGCAUUCAUGUACAUAUGUCUGUUGUAUCUGGCUCUGCUGUUGGUUUGUUUGUUUGUUGGGGUGGGAUGUUCUAUGAGAGAUAAGCCCAUUACCCAGGCUUGAGUGUACACACAGGUUUUUAGAAUGGAUAGUCAUGAGGCUUGCGUGGCAUGUUACUACGUUAAGUUGUUCAUGAGACCCACAUUCCAGACGAGGUUUCUUUUGGAUAUAUUUUGUCCUACGGGUGUUCUGUAACGACAUGAUGUUCCUAUAGAAAUCGUCGACUCUGGUGACCAUUCCCCGAGAACUCAGUCGAGGCCUCUCCUCCGAGACGUGAUUAUGUUAGCUCUGGUGGGUGCAUUCUCGCUGCUCAACCCGAGGACCCCGAGACUGGGAACUUGCUAUUAGGAUGUCUUGUUGAGGGGAGUCGAUGAAGGUCUUUUAUCCCGUAAUAAUACCAAACCUUCAGUGGUAAAUGUAUUAUUCUCGACUGAAGGCCUGAAGUUGACGAACUUCUGUUCCUAGAACUUACCAGUGAGGGGCGGGAUAAAUUCAGGAAACCUUAACCUUCAACCAACUCGGUUUUCUGGAGCGGAGUUUUGAUCUUGUAUUAUAUUCCUCAGUGGGUUUCUCUUCAGACAGUGCAACCCGACAGAUGUUCAAGCGAAUAUAGCAACCCUGAUUUCCAUGUCACUGCAUCGCAUCACAUUAGUUUGCAUCACAUCAUUUUGCAUCAUAGCAUGUUUAUUUUCAAAAAAAAUAUAGUACAUAUAAAAAUAAAUAAAUAAAAGGAGGGGGUUAACCCUCAUAUGCAUAUCUGGAAAAAAAUAGCAUACGCAUCAUGCUCAUAUCAUGCAUGCAUCAUUACAGGUGUUCUUGAGGAGGAUUUCUCAUUCCGGUUCCCGUUUCAGGCAGGAUUGCUGAGUAUCGUCCGCACUGUUAUGCAACAAGGCAGAACUGACAGAGGAUCAUGGAUCAAGUUCAAGCAGAACUAGCAGAGAUGAGGACCAACAUGGCCCAGUUCAUGAGUAUGAUGCAAGGGGUAGUACAAGGGCAAGAGGAACUCCGAGCCUUGGUCCAGAGACAAGAAAUUGUGAUUCCCCCUGUCGGUCAGAGUCCGCCAGAGGAGACCCCUGUCGAUGACGCUGCCGUAACCAACCCUGUCAACAACCAUGCCAAUGGUGACGAAUUGCGUGGUAUCAGAAUCAAUGGACAACCCAUCAUUACAGAGGUUUCUAAUGCUUGAACGGCACGUGCUCCGGUUCACCAUCCUUCUCAUUUGGUUGACAAGCAAGAAGAUAUGUUCACCAUUCCCAGUGAUGAUGAUGAAUUUAGAAGAGUGAAAGAGAGAGAUAGAAAGGUCGACGCCCUUGCUGAAAAGAUUCGCGCCAUGGAGUGCCAGAAUUUGUUGGGUUUUGAUGUUUCUAAUAUGGGUUUAGUUGAUGGGUUAAGGAUCCCAUACAAGUUCAAAGCGCCAUCUUUCGACAGAUACAGUGGCACUUCUUGUCCCCGAACUCAUGUGCAAGCUUAUUAUCGGAAGAUAUCCGCUUAUACUGAUGAUGAAAAAAUGUGGAUGUACUUUUUCCAAGACAACUUAUCUGGAGCAUCUUUGGAUUGGUACAUGGACUUGAGAAAAGAAUCUGUCAGAAGCUGUAAAGAGUUAGGUGAAGCUUUUCUGAGGCAGUACAAACAUAACAUGGACAUGGAUCCGAGCAGAACCCAGUUGCAGAGUUUGUUUCAAAAGACCGGUGAGAGUUUCAAGGAAUACGCCCAGAGGUGGCGUGAACUAGCUGCAAGAGUACAACCUCCGAUGUUGGAGAGAGAAUUGACAGAUAUGUUCAUCGAAACCCUGUAGGGUGUUUUCAUGGAUCGUAUGGGAAGUUGCCCGUUUGGUAGUUUUUCAAAUGUGGUGAUUUGCGGAGAAAGAAUUGAAAGUCUUAUCAAAGCGGGAAAAAUCCAAGACCCUGGUUCUUCGAGUUCCUCAAGUGCUAAGAAACCAUUCUCAAGGGCACCCAGAAGGAAAAAGGGUGAGACAAAUGCUAUAUAUAAUCAGAGAAAUGGAAAUAGAGGACAACAAUACCGUCAAGUUAUUGCUGUGACCAUUCCAGCAACCUAACCUCAACAACAACAAAGAGGACAACCACAACAACAACAUCAACACCAAUUCCAACCAAGACAAAGAAUGCCAGAUCGACAUUUUGAUUCGCUGCCUGUGACUUAUGCUGAAUUACUCCCUGAACUGCUCAGGUUAAAGUUUGUUGAACUUCACACUAUGGCUCCAUUAACAAGGAUUCCCGCUGGUUAUGAUGCUAAUGUCCGUUAUGAUUUCCAUUCUGGUGCGCCAGGGCACCACAUCGAGAAUUGUCAGGCUUUUCACCAUAAAGUUCAAGAUUUGAUUGACGCCAAGACGAUUAACUUUGCUCCUACUCCGAAUGUGGUGAAUAAUCCUAUACCUCAGCAUGGAGGGCCCAGGGUGAACAGUGUGGAAGAUGGGAGAUUUGAUUGACGCCAAGACGAUUAACUUUGCUCCUACUCCGAAUGUGGUGAAUAAUCCUAUACCUCAGCAUGGAGGGCCCAGGGUGAACAGUGUGGAAGAUGGGGAAAAUUUGAACUUGGUAGUCAGUAUUGAUGACGUUCAGACUUCGUUGUUUGUAGUGAAGGAACGUCUGCUUAGAGGGGGAGUAUUCCCGGGAUGUGAUAAGAAUAAUUCAGAUUGUGGUAAUCAUGAAAAUGGUUGUGUGAAAUUGAAAGAAGGUAUCCAGUAAUUGAUAAAUGAAGGUUGUUUACAAUUUGAUCGGGUAGUGAAAGACUGUGAAGAGGUAUCGACUGUUACCAUUUACUUUACACCGUAAGAAGGUUGUGUGCGUGCUCCAAGAACUAUUGGUGCGCCUGUGACUAUUGAUACGCCUGUGACCAUAUCUGCUCCGGUGACUGUUGGUGUUCCCGCGACUAUUAAUGCUCCAGUAACUAUCAGUACUCCCACCAUCAUUGUUGCUUCUAGUGGAAGACCUUAUGAGAAUGAUAGAGCAAUUCCGUGGCAAUAUGACAAUGCUUCUUCUCCAAUGACGAUUGGUUCGUCAAAUAAGACUCCAGUAACAGUUGGUUCGGCUGUGGAUAACGUGGGAGGACCCGGAGGAUUUACGAGAAGUGGUCGUUUGUUUGCACCUCAGGUUCCGAAUGAUAACCAUGCUGAGGCUCUUGCUAGAACAAAAGGAAAACAAGUUGUAGUUGAAGAAGAACCAGUGCGAAAGGAAGUACCCGAGAAUUCUUUUGAGAAGGACGUGGAGGAAUUUAUGAGAAUUAUCAAGAAAAGUGAUUACAAGAUUGUGGAUCAGACACCGUCAAAAAUCUCUAUUCUCUCUCUGUUGAUGUGUUCCGAGGCCCAUCGUAACGCCUUGUUGAAAAUGUUGAAUAUGGCUUAUGUGCCUCAAGAGAUUUCUGUUAACCAGCUUGAAGGUGUUAUUGCAAAUGUUAACACGAUACAUGGUUUGGGAUUCACGGAUCUAGACUUGACACCUGAGGGUCGCAAUCAUAAUAAAGCUCUGCAUAUCACGAUGGAAUGCAAAGGCGCCGUUUUGUCGCAUGUUUUGGUUGAUACCGGUUCUUCUCUGAAUGUGCUGCCCAAAAAGGCUCUGAGUAAGCUUGAUAUCCAAGGGGUUGUUCUCACACCAAGUGAUUUUGUUGUCAGUGCUUUUGAUGGAUCCAAGCGAUCGGUUUGUGGUGAAGUCACGUUGCCUGUGAAGAUCGGCCCAGAAGUGUUUAAUAUUGUCUUCUAUGUGAUGGAUAUUCAACCAGCAUAUAGUUGUCUGUUGGGGCGUCCUUGGAUACAUGGAGCCGGAGCAGUUUCUUCGACUCUCCACCAAAAGCUAAAAUAUGUGUGGGAUGGUCAAGAUGGUCAAGUUGUGACCGUGUGUGGCGAAGAGGACAUCUUUGUGAGCCAUUUAUCCUCCUUCAAAUAUGUGGAGAUGGAUGGCAAAAUUCAUGAAACUCUAUGUCAAGCUUUUGAGACUGUCAGUAACAAGAAGGUGGCUUUUGUUGAACAGAAGAAACCAGGUACCUCGAUUGCGUCCUAUAAACAAGCUCUGGAGGUCAUUCAUUAAGGUGACACGGAAGGCUGGGGCAAGAUGAUUGAUGUGCCCGUAAAAGAAGACAUGUUUGACGUUGGUUAUCAGCCUUCUCAAUCAUCAGAGCAGGGUGUCCAGGAUCAGAAAGGGACGUGUACUUUCACUAGUGCUGGAUUGAUGAAUCACGGGGAUGUCUUUGCAACAGACAAUGAAGACGGUGAUAGUGAUUGUGAUAUGGAUAAAUGGGUGCGCCCGUGUGCUCCAGGGGAGAAGAUCAACAACUGGACUGCUGAAGAAAUAGUCCAAGUUACUCUUCAGACAGAGUAAUUUUCUUUUGUUUUGCAUUUUGCAUGAAAGCCCUACGCUCUGCACGCCCGUGUGCUCCAGGGGAGAAGAUCAACAACUGGACUGCUGAAGAAAUAGUCCAAGUUACUCUUCAGACAGAGUAAUUUUCUUUUGUUUUGCAUUUUGCAUGAAAGCCCUACGCUCUGCCCAAGGUGUAGUGGUUCAUUGUAGGGCCACAUCAUGUUUUAAAUUUUCAAUGAUUAUCAUCAAUAAAGGACGUUUUUCAAUCAAAUUUGUGUUCCCUGUCUUUCUAUUUUCAUUACUCUCAUUUUCAAAACAAUAAAAAUGGCAAUGUUUUUUCUUUUUUUUGUGACUUUCUUGAACUCUUUUCUAAAAUAAAGCAUGAAACAUCGUUCGUGCAGAAUUGAUCUUGUGGAUUCCAUUAAGAACAGUUCUGUUAUGGCUCAGUAUGACUUUGAUAAUCCCAUUUACCAAGCCAAAGAGGAGAGUGAAGAAGAUUGUGAACUCCCCAAAGAAUUGGCCAGACUAUUGAAACAGGAGGAAAUGGUCAUUCAACCUCAUCAGGAAGAGUUGGAAGUCAUUAACCUUGGUACUGAGGACGUAAAGAAAGAGAUCAAAAUAGGGGCUGCUUUAGAUGAUUUCUCCUUGGCCAUUUGCGAUGUGGGGCAUCAAUAUGAUUGGAAAGGUUGAACCUACUGCUUCUAAUGGACAUCGCUUCAUCCUAGUCGCGAUUGAUUACUUUACCAAGUGGGUGGAAGCAGCUUCCUAUGCCAAUGUUACCAGACAAGUGGUCGCUCGAUUCAUUAAGAAAGAAAUUAUUUGUCGUUAUGGGGUUCUUGAGAGAAUCAUCACCGAUAAUGGGUUGAAUCUCAAUAACAAGAUGAUGAAAGAGCUUUGCAAAGACUUUAAGAUCGAACACCACAAUUCUUCUCCUUACAUACCAAAGAUGAAUGGUGUUGUAGAGGCGGCAAAUAAGAACAUUAAGAAGAUUGUGCAAAAGAUGGUUGUGACGUACAAGGAUUGGCAUGAGAUGUUGCCUUUCGCUUUGCAUGGGUAUCGUACCUCAUGGUACGUCAACCGGGGCAAACUCCGUUUUCAUGGGUAUGGCAUGGAAGCAGUCUUGCCAGUAGAAGUUGAAAUCCCUUCUUUGAGGGUGAUGAUGGAUGUAAAACUUGACGAGGCUGAGUGGGUUCAAGCCAGGUUUGAUGAGUUAAAUUUAAUUAAGGAAAAGCGAUUAGCAGUUGUGUGUCAUGGACAACUAUAUCAGAGAAGGAUGAAGAAGGCCUUUGAUCAGAAAGUGCGUCCUUGGAGCUAUCAGAUAGGUGACUUGGUUUUGAAGAGGAUCCUUCCUCCCGAUACAGAUAACAGGGGCAAGUGGACUCCGAAUUAUGAAGGUACAUAUGUUGUUAAAAAGGUCUUUUCUGGUGGAGCCUUGAUGCUUACAACUAUGGAUGGUGAAGAUUUUCCGUCUUCUGUGAAUCCAGAUGUAGUCAAAAAAUAUUUCGCAUAAACUGACCCGCUGGACAAAGAAAGAAAGUCCAGGCAAAAAAGGGCAUCCCGGCGAACCAAGAGAAAAAGUAAAGAAAAAGGUUCGGGUAAAAGUUAGGGAUAAAGAAUAAAAAUAAUAUGUACACCAGGUAAGUCGAAAACCUGCAAAGGCGGCUUAGGCAAAAAUGGGUAUCCAGGUGGAUUGAAAACCUGAAAAGGCGGUCCAGGCAAAAGAGGGAUUAAAGCGAAGACUAUAGUCUGAGUUAUCUGUACUUCAUCGUAUUUCAGUGUCUACCAUCUUGAAGGAUAUGAUCGGUCCAAUCACUCUUCUCAGAAAGCAAAGAAUUUGGGGGAAAGUGAAGAUCUAUGAGUCAUAACAGAAUUGGGAAAUAGUGGAAUGCCGUGUUCACAUUGCCAAUAGGAUAGUUUAUUUUCUCUUUUGGCGCAAUUACCUCUUCCUAGGAAUUGCUUCCUGAUGUAUUUGCCUUUAUAGGCCAUUUUUAAAAGCCGUUAUUCAGUCAAAUUGCUCUCUUGUUUUUUUAUUCUACUGUUUUGUUUGCAAAAAACGUUCGAAUUUUUGAUAAACAUUGCAUCUAAAAAGUAUGAAGGCUAGACAAUGACGUGCGGAAAGAUAAAACAUCUGAAAAUCAUUUUGAAUGUUGAGUACACUUGAGUAUAUUUUGUCCAUACGAUCCCCUGAGGCAUGUAUGUCUUGCCGUUUUGCAGGUUACUAUCUUUGAUUGAUGGCUAAAGCAGAUGAGCCAAAGUUUGUUCGAAGGAAGACCCUGUUGUUUCAACAUUGUCCAGGCGUGUAAGAAGUUGGGUCGUCUAAGUCAAGUUCAGAUUUUGUUUCCCAGCAUGGUCAAGAGGUUGGUGUUUUCCCAACAAUUGACUCCCCAGUUGAGUUGGUUUCUCUACCGUUCCGAGAAUGUCAGAUUAGUAAGUAUCCUCAGCAGAAUUAUUAUAUAUCCCCAGUGGAGUUGACAGCGCCAGACUGUAUCUUCCCAGCAGAAGCGACUGCUCCUCAGAGUCCGAUGCCAGAUCGAUGAUCUCAACACCAGAUCCAUGGUCUCUCUCCUUGAAGCAGAAUCUCGGUACCGUAUCGGUGUUUGCUUCCCCUGCUAAGUCGUCUCUCUCGCAGAUUAUGGUUGCCAGAACCACUAUCGCUUUUUGCAACAACAAGCUUCCAGUGCCAUUCUCUCCCCAGUCAGGGUCUCGGUAUUGUGUUAUUGCCUGAACACCACGUGGCCGAUCAUUUCCCCACAUGGUUCAUUGUGUUGUGUAUCUCCAACAGCAUUUCCUGGGUCAAGAAGAGUGUAAUCAUUUCCCCGACAAGAGUUCUUGCCUUGGCUUGGCAUUCUCCCCAGCAGAGUUCCUUGCCUCGGCUUGGCGUUAUUUCUAACCUAGCAUUUCGCAUCCCUGCAUGUAGAAUCAUAUUGCAUUGCAUCCUCUCAGUAUGGAGCAUUACGCCAUAGAAAACUCAAACAUAUGCAUACAUGCAUUAAAACCAGAUUGGAUCUUAUCCCCAGCAGAGACGGAUCAUUUUCCAACAUCGGUAUAGCACAUUUGCAGCAGUUGCCCUUGGCAACAUUCGAAAUCAAUAAUCCCAGCGAGAUUUAUUUUCUCACCAGUCCGUGAAAGGAAAGCUUGAUUCUCUUCCGAGUUAGUCCCCGACAAGUGUCUGCCUUAUUUUGACAUAUGUAGAUGUCAUCCUUGCGAUACCGGUAAGUGUUGCGUUGAUCCCUGUAAAUGUCUAUGCUUUUCUUUGAUGUCGGUAACAUCAUCUUUCGAUGUCGGUAAACGUCGAAUUCCAAUCGUUGGCAAUCAGUAAAUGGCAUGUAUCUCAAGGUGUCUACAAAAAAAUCGUUCUAUCAACACCCGUGUGUGUCCUUUCCUUUCUUUGGUGUCAGUAAACAUCAUUGUUCGAUAUCGGUAAACAUCAGCCACUUGUUAACCAUCGGCAAAUGGUUUUGUCGUUUAAGAUUCCCCAGCAGAUUCGCUAUCCGUAAAUAUCGAAUACUCCGGGUUCGCCAUCGCUAAACGGUUUCGUUUCAUAAGCGUAUUCUUUCUUUGGUAUCGGUAAACAUCAUUGUUCGAUGUCGGUAAGCAUCGAGUUCCUCCCAGUCAUCGGUAAAUGUCUGGUCUUGUUUCACUUGUAAAUACUUUUGUUCGAUGUCGGUAAACAUCGAGUUCCUCCCAGUCAUCGGUAAAUGUCUGGUCUUGUUUCACUUAUAAACAUCCUUGUUCGAUGUCGGUAAACAUCGAGUUCCUUCCCACUCAUCGGUAAAUGUCUGGUCUGGUUUCACUUGCUCCUCCCCAGUGAAGCCGCCAUCGGUAAAUGACCUCGCUUUCUUUGAUAUUGAUAAAUAUCAAAUUUUGUUUUGAAGCCGCCAUCGGUAAAUGACCUCGCUUUCUUUGAUAUCGGUAAAGAUCAAAUCGGUUUUGAAGCAGCCACCGGUAAAUGGCCUUGCUUUCUUUGACAUCAGUAAAUGUCUAAUUUGUUUUGAAGCCGCCACCGGUAAAUGGCCUUGCUUUCUUUGACAUCAGUAAAUGUCUAAUUUGUUUUGAAGCCGCCAUCGGUAAAUGGCCUCGCUUUCCUUGCUUCGUCACCUACAGAGUGCAGGUUCACAGUUGAUUGAAUAGGGGCAGCUGUAGCACCUCAAAUUUGCCCCCCCUCAUUCAUGCAUUCAUUUUUAGGUCAUUUAACAUUUCAUAUUGCAUUGCAUCAUGUCAAUCAGAAUCAGAUCCUAGAAGCUUGAACAUCAUCCAAGACACUUUGUGGGUUCUAUCUGGGUGAUCAGUCAACACAAGGGGAUGGCUUGAGAUACUUCCAACAUGUUCAAAUGGGGUCUAUUCAUCAUUCAAAAUGCCAAUCUUGAAGGAGCAAAAAGCAGAGCCUGAGCUAUCAUGCUCGCUAGGCGAGCAGCAUGGUUCACUAGGCGAACUACACUGUCAUGCUCGCUAGGCAAGCAGAUCCUUCGCUAGGCGAAGAGCACGCGUUUCAGAAUGUAACAUAAUUUUUUUGGAUUUAGGCCUCUCUCAUUUGAGCCCACAAGUCCACAAAAAUCAGGUUAUAAAUUCAGAGUUUCAGUGAAACAAAAGGUAUUCUAUUCCUAUUACCCUGGCAGAAGAGAGAAGCUACAGAAUUCAGGGCAACCUCCGGACAGCUCUGAAAAGUUCACUCUGACUCACACACUUCUUUGCCUCCAUCUCCCACAAACCCUAACAUUGCUUUAUAAACCCAGCCGUGCCAUUCGAGUUUAAUCGAUCUCUCCAAUCAGGUUUACCCUUAUUCCCAUUACCUUUAUACUUCCAAUUUGAAUGCUCUGAAUGUAUGACGUAUGAUGGAUGUUUUUGCCCACGGGUUUAGAUAUGUAUGAAUGUAUAAACCAUGCCUUGAAUGCUUAACCGUUUAAUUUCUGAAGUGUGUGCCAUAGGGUUUGAGGUUUCCGAAACCACACUGUUAUCCAUGAAGAAUCCAAAACCCGCAGGCGUUCGCUAGCACCAUCGCUAGGUGAGCAUGUAGCGAAGCUUCGCCAAGCCUUCGCUAGGCGAAGCAGUAGCGAGCAUGACAGUAACUGAUUUUUUUUGUUCGUUCUAAUCUGACUUUUAUGUUUGUAAUGCCAUUGUUUUCUCCUGACCCCAUCUUGUUACUUUAACCUUUUUUUGUUGAGUUUUUGUGAGGGCUCACAUGACUCUUGCAGGGAUAGUUUGUUUAGUGUUCCACUUUAUUUGUGGAAUACCAUUUGGGAGAUUCUAUUCCGAUUACCUGUACUGACUUAUUGCCUUGUUGGCACGUUUACUUUAUGCAUGUUUGUUUUGCAGGGCGUGAUCGUAUCCCUAUAGGUAGCGCGGUUCCUUCGUCUAGGACUGCCCUUUUUGCCUUUUUGCAUCCCUAAAACCCAAAGCAACUCAUUGAUUUUUCUUCUCCUAAGAACACGUUUACUCCUUCUACUAAAGGCGAGUAAGUCUCCAAAGGUCGAGCAUCCAGUAGAUUGCGUAGUAACGUCGUUCGUCCCAAAACCACCCCGUAGUUAGCCGAACUACGUUUUGCUCUGAUUCUCAUUCCAGAUGAGAUACGUAGGCAUAAGACGCGAUGUCUUACCGAGCACACUUCCCCUUAACCCAUAGAUGGCCAAACUACGAAGACUCUGAUUCUCAUAUUCAGAUGAGAUACGUAUGCAGUGGAUGCGACAUCCGUGCGAGUCAUUUUCCUUUGACCCCUCUUUUAGUAAAUAGUACAUUAGAUAAACCCGCACCCUUUAGACAAGAACUACAAAAGUGGAUCCCGUAGAGUACUACGAAUGCGUAGGGGUGCUAAUACCUUCCCUUCGCAUAAUCGGCUCAUGAACCCAAGAUUUGGUUACGAGACCUUGUCUUUUCCUUUCCUUUUUCCAGGUUUACUUCGAGCAUUUCCUUUCCCUCAUUUGGGAUAAAUAACGCAUGGUAGCGACUCUUCUGUCAUUUUCUUUUCGCCGGUUGUUUUUUCGCAUAUUAUGAUUUUUCAGGUUGCGACAUCGGGAAGUCAAAUUCUUUCCUAAACCACAAGUCCAAUCCCUAUUGGCAACUACCAAAAAACCAAAGUCCACUUUGUUGGCAUUAUCACCAAUUCAAAUCCAAACCAUAUUGGUACCCAAAAGAUCUCACCUUCAAAAAAUGGGGACCAAUAAAAAAAACUAAUCAGCAGCUUGCAUUCCCAAAUGCAUUGCAUACAACAUACAUGCAUAACUUUCCUGCCGAGGUAGGAAGUUCCAUAUCAAAAAGCUCUCUCACCGAGACGAAAAUAUUGCAUCAGAUUAACAUGCAUACAAAGUCAAGCAUCUCCCAUCAACCCUUUGACCGUGACCCUUUUCCAUCAACUCUUUGAUGACGACAAUCCUUUCUAUCAACUCUUUGAUGAUGACAAUCCUUCCAUCAACUCUUUGAUGAUGACAAUCCUUCUCAUUCAACUCUUUGAUGACGACAAUCCAUUCUCAUCAACUCUUUUAUGACAGCAAUCCUUCCAUCAACUCUUUGAUGAUGACAAUCCUUUCAUUAACUCUUUGAUGAUGACAAUCCUUCCAUCAACUCUUUGAUGAUGACAAUCCUUCCAUCAACUCUUUUAUGAUGACAAUCCUUAUCCAUCAACUCUUUGAUGACGACAAUCCAUUCUCAUCAACUCUUUGAUGACAACAAUCCUCCCAUAAACUCUUUGAUGAUGACAAUCCUUCUCCAUCAACUCUUUGAUGAUGACAAUCCUUCUCCAUCAAAUCUUUGAUGACGACAAUCCAUUAUCAUCAACUCUUUGAUGACAACAAUCCUCCCAUCAACUCUUUGAUAAUGACAAUCCUUCUCCAUCAACUCUUUGAUGACGACAAUCCAUUCUCAUUAACUCUUUGAUGACGACAAUCCAUUCCCAUCAACUCUUUGAUGACGAAAAUACUUCCAUCAGCCCUUUGAUGACGAAAAUCCUUCCAUCAACUCUUUCAUGACGACAAUCCUUUCUCAUCAACUCUUUGAUGAUGCUAAUACAUUUCUCAUCAACUCCUUGAUGACGACCAUCCUUUCCCAUCAACUCUUUGAUGACGACAAUCCUUUCAUCAACCCUUUGAUAACGCUGUCAACCCUUUGACGAUGAUAAUUGUUAUCCUAUAAACUCUUUGAUGACGGCCUUCCUUUUUAGUCAACUCUUUGACGAGGACAAUUGUUAUUUCAUAAACCUCUAAAGUCAGAUCCCCACAAAAAUCCUUAUCGAAAGCCAAACCACACCUGGUGUACCCAAAUGCACCCAGACCAUUGCAUAAACUGCAUCCUCAUUUUGCAUUAACAAUCAUGCAUUACAUCGCAUCAGAAAAGGCGUGGCAUAUUCCAUUGAGGUGGAGCAUUACGCCAUGCAAGAUAAACCUGCAUAACUGCAUAAAAGUCUUUCUCGAAAGCAUAAAAAAGGAAAAGAAAAAUCAUUAGUUGAUACGUUCUGCCUCCCCAAUGAGAACAUCAUUAAGAAUCUGUGGAUUGGUAUUCCUUGUAGGUGUUCCCAAAAUAUUUCUCCUUUGUAUUGCCUUUUGCAAGUACCCUUUUGAGUCUUUCGUCAGUCACUUACCUUUGUAAGUCCUUUCGGCCUCGUGCCAAUCCUCCUUGCCUUUUGCUUGGAGAAGAUGAUUGAGAUAACUUACCUUUCAUGAGUUUAUUUCGUUGCUUUAUGCAUGAAAUCACGUCUCCCCCUCGAUGCCUUUCGCACAAGUAGGGUACCUUUGUCAGAUCUUUGCUUCCCGCUUGUUUAAACGCUUGAUGUAGGUUUGGUGAGUCCCGGGGUUUGGGUAGCCAUUGUUUGAGAACUUCAUCCCCGUCAUUGUGCCUGAGGGACAACAUGAGGUUUUCAUACCUAUUCGCAAAGUUCCCCACCUGUCAGAGUGUGCCAAAGCCCAGAUUCAUCUGGAAGAUCCCCUUAAGUUUAGGUUUUACCUAGCAUGUCUUGUCCCACUCUUUUUUUGCCUCGUGCAAAUAUUUGUGACCUUUCGUCCUUUACUUACCUUUCGUAAGUAUUCCCUUCCGUUUGCAUGGGAGGUAUUCCGCUUCUAGCUUACCUUUCGUGGGUCCCCUUUAUGCCUUUAGCAUAAAGUUUGUUACCCCCAACUGCUUACCUUUUGUAAGUCUCCCCAGCCUUUUGCUCGAACCUUUCUAUUCUUGAACCUGCUUACCUUUUGUAAGUGACCAUUGCCUUUCAUCUGGAAAUCUUCUCCUGCAAAGAAGUCGUUACUAUCUUUUGUAUGAGAAAGACCUUUCAUUUUUCUUCUUAACCCUCUGUUAAGAAGUUUCUCACUACCUUUCGUAUGAGAAAUCCCUCCCAGUUUUCUUCUUAACCCUCCGUUAAGAAAUUUCUCAUUACCUUUCGUAUGAGAAAUCAUUUCACCUUUCUUCUUAACCUUUUGUUUGGAAGACCCUUUCUCUUGUGCAAAGGAGUCGUUGCUAACCCUUUUUAAGGAGUUCUCAUCACCUUUUGUGAGAGAAAUCUGUUUAUCCUUGUUUUCUUAACUAAAUUUGAAGAUUCUGUUUCUCUUGCUAAGGAGUCGUUGCUGCCGGUUGCAAGAGAAGGUCGCUUCUCAGUUGAGUUACUUACCUUUAGCAAGAUGCCUUUUGCAAGGGAUCUCAUUCCAAUUCUUUCUACUCGGGUAUUUGCCUUUCGCAGACACCUCAUUUACCUUCGCGGAAUCCUGCGGGAACUCGAUUACCAAUCUCAAGCCAAAAAUCGUUAGUGGAGGCAGAACAAAGAAUGAAAAAAUAGAGAAAGACACAACAAAAGAGAUCAACAUACAUGACAUAUAGCAUAUAGCAUGCAUGACUUCAUGGAGCAUCUCACGGAAAAGCUUUCUGUGAACACUUUGACCUACAUCUCAUUCAUUUCAUUCAUUCCCUGCGGGCAAAUUUCUUGGCUAUUUUUAGUAUUUAAUCCUCUCCUACCAUGAAUGUUUGAAAGCAGCUGCUAUUCAUACCUUCAGGUCCGAAAAGAUUAAAUAUGGACAUAUGUCAUACCCCAAAAUUUGCCCUCAUUUUCGCUUUUUCGUCUGACUAUGACUUGAUACCCAUUCUAACCUCAUUCAUACUCAUUCAUGUGCAUUCAUUCAUUCAUUCAUCUGCUGACAGGCGUCACGGAUUCGGGGUUUGUGGUUGAUAAAAUCGGAGUUGGAUUGAAGUUUAUGGCAUUGCACGUCAUAGGGAUUGAAUCCUGAAUCAUGACUUUGAUAGUCAGAGAUCUUGUGCAUGACCUGUUGUUUGGUGGACAUUCACCUGGUUUGAUUCAUGGCAUUGGCAUGAGUCGUUGGUUCUGGAUAUUGUGAUCCAUAUUCGUUUGUCCAUGAGAAAGUACGCAUUUUUGCAACUGUUGACUUUUAGGUCAACCAGUUGACCAAAGUCAACCAUCAAUCUCCGAAUCUUUAAUCAUGUAACUCGUAAUCGUCCUGUCAUUUUCGAAUUAAUUAUAGAAGUUUUAAGUGAAUUUUUAAGGAUUAAAUUUUAAUUUGAAGCUUGGUCCUUGAGAUUCAAAUUGACUUUUGUGAAUUAGUUUUAUUUCAUAACCAUUUCAUCAUUUUCUUUAGCCGAUUAAAUUUUAGAAAAUAUUGUUUUUAAGUACAAAUUAAUCGUGACGUUUCUUUUAUUAUUAGAAUUUCUUGAUUUUUAUUAAUGGGCCAAAUCUAUUUUUUAAACCCACAUUUAAACCAAAUUAACCAAGCUCAAAUAUUCAAAUCCAAUUUCAUUUUAAUAUCCAUUUGACCAUUUUUUUAACAACUAUCCAUUUAAUGUCCAUAAUUCAAUAUCCAAUUCCUAUAUCCAUAUCCAAUUAAAUCCAAUUCCUAUAUCCAUAUCCAAUUAAAUCCAAUUCAAAACAAAUAUUCAAAUCCAUUUUAAAUCCAUUUUUAAGCCACUUGGCAAUUAACCAAAUCCAUUACAUUAGUAACCAUCAUCCAAAUAUCAUCCAAAUAUCCACUGUACAUUUAUUAGCAUGCAUUAAGAAAAAUAAAAGUUGCAGCCAGAAGCUGUUGUAGCUCAUUCACAAGCCAGCAACCUAAAACGGCUAAAAGUUAAGCAACCGCCAAAAUUAGCGCCAGCUGUACACAAAACAAUUGUGCAUAAAUCCAAAACAAAAUCCUGCACAAUUUAACCAACCUCGCAACACCAAUAACAACAAAGUUAACUUCUAACCAACUCAAAAUACAAACCAAUUUAAAACCAAAAUCCUCUUGGCCUCGUUUGAAUUUCACCAACUGAAUUUGAAUCACUAUAACUAAUCCUAACAGAAUUUCAUCUUGAAUUCCUAACAGAAUUUUGCUAACAGAAUAAAAACCUUAUAAAUACCCUGCAAGUCUCAGGUUCAGGGCUCCAUUUUUGUUCCAGUUUUUCAUUUCCAUUUCCUCACAAUAUGAUCUGGUAUCCUAACUAUCUGGAGUUUUCACCCUCCAUCACCUUCAACCGUUUCAUUCACAAAACUCCUUCACCAUCUCUUCUUCACGCCGCCGAACCACCACGCUUCAACUUGCACUGCUUCAAUCACUUCAACCUCCAAGACGAACCACAAGCGGACGACAACGCACAACAGAAACUCACCCGAAUUCGGUUGCAAAAAUCCCAAUCUUCCAUUCCAUCGCAACUCUACCGAUCGCACCAUAACUCAACCGCUUCAACCACCGCGAUUCCCUCCAACCACGACCAUACGCGACCGUUAACAGAGUCGACAAACUCACCACAAUCAUCU